GAUUGGCAUAGGAACAUGGAAGAUUGUCAGUCAUCAUCUAUUUCUGCCAAUUUUCCAUGUUCCUGUGCCAGUC
ensembl:miRNA